CCGAUGGCAGCACCAGGAGUUUGUAGCCUGUGUCCUGAGGUGGGGCGGCAGCAGGAUCGUCAGUUUUGCUGUGUUCUGGGAGCAGUAGUGGCUCCAGUUUGGCUUUGUUUGUGCUGAGAAGCGGCUUGGUGAGCUGCGUGUGGGUGUCAGCCGCGAGUUUUGGGAUGAGAGGGGUCCCGCUGUGGGUCGCAGGAGAUCGCAAUUGCAGCCCGUGCGAGCUGGAUGUGCGUGUAGUGUAAACAGAUCUUUGCUUUUGAAAGACUCUGGUGCUUGGGUCUUGUUCAGUGUGCAAAAUUCGGACCGAAUAUCCAAACCGGCCAUGGAGCAGUGCUGAGCUCACAGAGCUAGGGCUGGAAGCGUCACUAGUAUGCUUCACCUGGAGGGAAACAGUGGCAUGCAGUGGAAGGAAGAGGAGAAGCAGGACCUGUUUGGGUGCCGAGCCGAUUUACCCGUGCAUGUCCGCAGUCAGAUACCAACUAACAGUGAUAACCACAGUGACAGCAGUGAUUUACCUGAAGUACCUCGUGAAGACCCUGAGACUGCUGAAAAUUAAUUGUUAAAUUAGAAAAAAUAGUCAUACAGUUGCAGUUAUAAGAUUAAGUUUAGCGAUAAGUCAUUGUUAAGAUUUAAGAUUAGGUAAUAAGCAGGUGUUAUUAGUUUUGCUUUUCUAAGAGAGGCAACUAAAACAAUGAGCAAAAUGUUAGGUGUUGGAAUGUUUAUUUUAAUUAAUGUUUUAAUAUAAACAGGAUCAGGAAUGCUUGAAAUUGACCCAAGACAAAAUAUGUGGGUCACUUGGGCCGAUCGGAGUAAACAAGAUUCAUUUUGUUUGUCUUUAGCCACUCCAUCAAAUCAUUUUCGGACUUGCUUGAUUGGAGUCCGAGUAGACUCUAUGACAGAGUUCAGAACCUGGUCUCAAAUCAAAAUUAAUCCAAAGAGUGUUUUAGGAACACAAGCUGUUGCCAUUGUGCAGAAUCUAAAAGUUGCUAGUACUGAGCCCCAAGAACUUGAUCUUUUGGGUUCUGUGCUGGGGAAUUACUGUUUGAUUUUUGGGCAUUUUAUCAUAAAUUCAAGCUUGCUAAUUGCAGACAAGCAGCAACUCAAAAAUGGCAACACUUGGUUGUCUCCCCAGUCCCCAUUGUAUUAUAACUAUACUGAAUACUGCAACAGUUGGACUGAGUCUGUAACACUAUUAACAGGUGUUGCAAGAAAAUUACCGCCGGGGAUCAUUCUCAUUUGUGGAGAUAGAGCCUGGUCUGCAGUGCCUCAAGAAGCUGUAGGAGGUCCAUGUUAUUUUGGUAAAUUAAUAUUGUUUGCUCCUAGCAUUCAUCAAGUUUUAGGAUUGUCUCAAAAGACCCGACGAGUCAAAUGCAGUAUGUCUCAACUAAGCCCCAACUGUAAAGAUCGAGUCAAAUUAUGGCAACCUGCAGCUGUAAUCUCAGCAUCAUUUUUUGCCCCAGGUGUUGCUUCAGCGUAAGCCCUCACGCAGUUAAAAAAUUUAGCCUGCUGGACAAGAAAACAAAUUAAUAUAACACUUAAUCUACUAAGUGAGCUUUCCAAAGGUGUUAAUGAUAUUCGUCAUGCUGUUCUCCAAAACAGAGCUGCUGUGGACUUCCUCCUUUUAGCACAAGGGCAAGGAUGUGAAGAAUUUGAGGGCAUGUGCUGCAUGAAUUUAUCAGACCAUUCCAAAUCAAUUUACAAGCAGCUAUCACAGUUGAAAGAGAACAUGAAAAAACUUGUAGUUGUAGACACUCCGUUUGACAAAUGGCUUGUAUCAUGGGGUUGUACUGGGUGGAUAAAGGAUUUGAUCCAUUUUAGUAUAGUGAUUCUCAUUGUUAUUAUAGCUAUCUUAGUUAUCUUGCCUUGCUUGAUACGAUGUAUGCAAAAAUUAGCCAGCUGUGCCUUAGCAUCAGUUUGGGAAGCUCAAAAAGAAAAAGAGGGAACUGUAACCGAAUUUCUUAGAGAUCGUCUGCACAAUGUGCUGUGGAAUGAGAUUUGAGCUAUCCCAAACUGGGCCUCAGAUUUGGGCCUGCUGGGCCUCAGAUUUUGGCCCAUGUAGAAGUAGAUAAAUUUUGUGGUGCAGUUAGAAAUUAGGUUAAGGUGUGUGCAUAGACUGUAUAGGACAAUUAGAGUGAAGAUACCGUAGCUGCCUUAAACUGAGAUAGUUUACAUACUUGUUCACGCUGAAUGCCAAUAAGAAUGUACCUGCAACUGUAAAUUAUUUUGCACUGUAUAAAACCAGCCAUUUCAGGAAUAAAGAGGAGAACGUAUGUUG